CCUGACGUCAGCGGCCAGCGUGAGUCACGCGCGCAGGGAGAGCGCGAGGCGGCCUCUUCCUCCCCCCUUUCCUCCUCCGGCCCGGCCCAGACCGGUUCCAACCUGCUGGGGCCGGUCCCAACUGCCUCCAACUGCCACCAACCUCUGGUCCUGACGUGGGGCGGGAAACUCGGCCCCAGCCGCCGAGUCGGGAAGGCGGGAGCUUGGGAUGCGGUGUGCACACUCCUUAGGCCAGGCCUUCGAGGCCUAGUUCUUCCUCGGACCAUAAAACCACAGUUCUAGGCACCUUGGGGGCAGCACGAAGUCCAAGACACGACCCAGACGAGUUCCGUAGGGGCCAGCCCUAGAACCACCUAUGAAGGAUGCUUAGCGUGAAGUCCUGUCAGGAGACUAUGCAAUGUGCACAGGAGGCUUUUUGUGCCCUAAGGCCUGUAGGUUGUCCACGCAGGGCCACCCGUGCUUGAAUUCACUUAAAACAGUCGAUUUAGAUAAACAUUCGAAGACGGAAUCAUGUUAGUGCGUGCCCAUGACCAUUCCCCUCGCAGGCUGUGCAGAGCCAGCCUGAGAAUCAAGGGACCCCGAGGGUGAUGGGGGUCCGACUAUGUCCCCCCAGGCCCGGCCGAAAUGUGGCAUUAGUGGGAGCCCCAGAUGUUGACACUGCAAGAGUCCAGCAAGAUGGAAAAACCUCUUCCUGGAAAUCUUCAUGUAUCUACGUUUAGGUCGCUGUCUUUAUUUCAUUUCAAGCCACAUUAAGCACUACCUAGAGCUAGGUGCUGUGAAAGAAAGAGGAAUAAGAGGAGGUUCCUCCUUGUUAUGCAGAAUAUUGGUUUCCACUUUUUCUGAUGCUCUGAGUGCCUCUCAGCCCCGUGGGCUCCUGAGUGAUGUGCGUGUGUAGAAGGAUCCCCAACUGCUGGAGGUUUUGGAACCUGGGAGGUUGAACAACCCUUAAGUUCAGUGUACCAAGAGCAGGAAGCAUCCGUUGGAGUAGAAAGAACUAAAAGUAGACAGGAGGACCUCUUGCUUGUUACAGAGACGUUGGGAAACUUCUAGGACUGGGGCUCAUAGGUUAUAGGAGCUAUGUUAGAUACUAAAGAAGGCUUCCCCACAAUCCAUAUGCAUCUGCUUUGACUGGUGGUUUCUAUCAUCCUACAAAGACUGUGACUUAUUGGUGAGGGCAGCUGGACAACUCUGAGAGCAACUUAGAGAAAUCCAUCUUGGGCACAUUCUAUAAAGGAGCUCCUUCUCUGGAAAUAGCACCCCAGAUAAGUGCACAAAAGCAAGACACCCUCGUGGACCUACACUUCCUCCCGCUCUCAACACCCUGAUGCCUGAAGCUAUGCUUGAUACUAAAGGAGGUUUUCCCACUAUCCAUAUGCAUCUUCUAUAUUUUGAAAUUGCAACUGUGGACAGUUAUGGCUAAUCCUAGUAGAUUGUCUUCCCUUCUUUUAACAUCUUGGAUGAAUUUGGGGCACACUAAUGUGUUAUGUGAAGAUGGAUGUGAAUAUGCUCUAUAGAUUCACCCCAGCCAGUCAUCUUAAAAAACCUGCCUGGGCAACAGAGAUAACUGUGGAGAAAGUUUGGGUAAAAUCAGUGCAUGGGAUAACAGUGUGUAGAAUUUGACAGCAGUAUCAAGAGCUGAGGAGGAGGAGAAGAUGGAAAGGAGUCUAGCAACUUAAAAAUCUCAUAGCAUUCUCUGUGAGGUGACCUUUUUUUCCUGUUGGUGGCUCAAUUUAUUUAGGAGAUAAAGAAGAUACUAAGGCCUGUGACAGUAUCAUCAUGUCAUAUCUGAGCUUAUUGAACUGUUUCCUCCCCUUAUUCUUUAUUUCACAGUUUGCUUUUCAUGUUCAUAAGUUGACUCAUUUGUUUCCUGUUAGCAUUUGAAACACCAUAUGGCCACCAUAAGUCCUAACAAAAUGACUUCUGACGAGGAGUGGGAAGGUCCGUGUCCCACCUUCCUAUAAAAUUUUGGCCUAUUCAUAAAACUACCCCCACUGAAGAGAGGUAGUUAGUUAUGUUCUGUAAAGAAGAGGGUUGAUUAAAACUUUUAGCAUGAUGUCUUAUGACUUAAAAGAUUUGAGUAGUAGUUUCUUUUUCCUUUUUCUCUUUUUUUUAUUAUUAUGUUCAUCUAGAUGCAAAGUUUCUGUAUCUAAGCUUUUAUUAAUUUUGGUAAGAACUUUUCUAUAUCUUUUUUAUGUCACUUUUAUUGUUAAGAGGUGCCAAGCAUUUGGUGGCCUGCCACUUUAGGAUUUAUGUAAAUCAGACCUAUCUAAAUAUAAAUUAGAGACUUAUAUUUCCUAAUUAUAAAGUAACAUAUAUUACUAUCCAAGUAAGAGUACUUUAUAAUGAAUACAUAAAAUGUAUAUUAAAUAACUAGUAGAGCAUGUUAGAGUUAACAUUUCUGUUUUUAUUUUGGUACCUUAUUUUAGUACCUUAUCUUAUGGUAUUGUAAUCAUAGCCUGUCAAAAACUCUCUCUGGCACAUUCUGAACAGCUUCUAGAGAGUCACUGGUGCUUAUUUGCUACUACUCUUGUUUUCCCUUUAUCUCAAUUAAGAAAAGCUUAGUUAAUAGGCAGCAUGAUGGUUAAGUGUACUGACUCCAGGGUCAUACUACCUGGGUUUAAGGCCCAGCUUGGCCACUUACUAGUUGUGGGACCUUAGGCAAGUGACUUGCCUCUUUGUGUAUCAGUUUCCUGAGACUAGCAAUAGUACCUGUCUCACAGGGUUGUUAUGAGGAUUAAAUAAGUUAACGUGUGUAAACUGCUUAAAGCAGUACCUGGCACUUAGUACAGUGUAAGUACUGUUCUUACCAAUAUUUGAGCAAGGCCCCAAGCCACUGCUUUCAGUUGCAUUGCUACCUCCCUCAACAGCCUUAAUCCAAAUGCCUUCUUAGCUGCACCCAUACUAAAAUAGAUUCUUCACUUCAUAGGGUAUGUGUGGGUCGGUGUUGCCUUCAGAGGACCCUCUUCUCUUCCACAUCCACUCAGAUCUUACUUUAGUAUCCAGUCUUUGUAGAGCCUUUACCUAAUUGCUGGAAUCAUACAUGAUGGAUGUAUAUUCUAAACUGACCCACUGGUCGGGCGUGGUGGUUCACGUCUGUAAUCCUAGCACUCUGGGAGGCAGAGGUGGGAAGAUCACUUGAGGUCAGGAGUU